AUUGAACGCUGGCGGCAUGCCUUACACAUGCAAGUCGAACGGUAACAGGUCUUCGGAUGCUGACGAGUGGCGAACGGGUGAGUAAUACAUCGGAACGUGCCUAGUAGUGGGGGAUAACUACUCGAAAGAGUGGCUAAUACCGCAUGAGAUCUACGGAUGAAAGCAGGGGAUCGCAAGACCUUGUGCUACUAGAGCGGCCGGUGGCAGAUUAGGUAGUUGGUGGGAUAAAAGCUUACCAAGCCGACGAUCUGUAGCUGGUCUGAGAGGACGAGCAGCCACACUGGGACUGAGACACGGCCCAGACUCCUACGGGAGGCAGCAGUGGGGAAUUUUGGACAAUGGGCGCAAGCCUGAUCCAGCAAUGCCGCGUGAAGGAUGAAGGCCUUCGGGUUGUAAACUGCUUUUGUACGGAACGAAAAGCCCCGGGUUAAUACCCUGGGGUCAUGACGGUACCGUAAGAAUAAGCACCGGCUAACUACGUGCCAGCCGCCGCGGUAA
rnacentral:rRNA from 1 species